UUAAAGGGUUGAAACUGCUAUAAACAUAGGAUCUCAUUAUGAUCAACAAUUCGUCCAAGGCUAAUAAACUUAAGAAAAUCAGUCUAUGAUCAACAAUUCGUCCAAGGCUAAUAAGCUUAAGAAAAUCAGUCAGAAAAAAAGCAAAAUCUAUUAACAAAACAACAAAUUAGCCUUCGUGAAAAAAUGGAGGCCAAUAAGCUUGUAAUAGUAUUUUUGAUGUGCAUGGUUGUGUUGUCAGCUGUGCGAGUUUCCACGGCUGAUUUCGAAAACUGCUACAAAAACUGUCACAAGGAUUGUGCUGCCUCUGGUCAUGGCUACACUGUCUGUGCAUUGAAAUGUGAGACCGAUUGCAGUUUUAAGCAACUCAAAGAAGAAUUCGAGGAAAUCAUGCCUUGAUCAGGACCAAAGAUGCAGGGAAUCACCUCUAAAAGGAGUUAGGGAAAAUGAAGAAUAAAAUAGUAGAAUUUUGUUUAAAUUAUUAUUAAUUUCUUUUUCCCGUGGCAUUGUAAUGCUAAGAAUUAAACAAAAUAAAAUUACAUUUAAUUAAUUUUUUUUGAUUUAA